rnacentral:rRNA from 1 species
CUGGGCGUAAGGGUGCGCAGGCGGCUGUGCACGUCGGAUGUGAAAUGCCGCGGCUCAACCUGGGAAGUGCCUUGGAUACUGCAUGGCUUGAGUGUGGGAGAGGGGGGGGGAAUUCCUGGUGUAGCGGUGAAAUGCGUAGAGAUGUGGAGGAAUACCGGUGGCGAAGGCGCCUUCCUGGACCACCACUGACGCUGAUGCGCGAAAGCGUGGGGAGCAAACAGGAUUAGAUACCCUGGUAGUCCACGCCCUAAACGAUGAGUGCUAGGUGUUGGGGAGGCAUUUCCUUCGUGCCGAACGAACGCGUGAAGCUCACCGCCUGGGGAGUACGGCCGCAAGGUUAAAACUCAAAGGAAUUGACGG